rnacentral:tRNA from 1 species
GGAGAAGUACUCAAGUGGCCGAAGAGGACGGUUUGCUAAACCGUUAGUAGGGGUAACUCUAGCGCGAGUUCGAAUCUCGCCUUCUCCGCCA